rnacentral:lncRNA from 10 species
UCCAGGGUCCUGCCUACCCAUCUGAGGACAUGUCUGCUCAUCACCCAUGUGCAUUCUGUCACAGUGGGACCUGUGUGUGUUCCCUGCUCAUUGUCGUUUCCAUGGUUUUGCUGAUUCUAUGCGAUUCUUCCAGGCCACUCCAAGUUCCACCUCUUCCACGAAGCCCUCCUUGAUUGCUGGGCCCUGGUUGAACUCCUUAUUAGUAACACCCAGGUUAGUCCUACUUAAUUCUUACCUGCAGCCAAAGUGGACUUAGCAUCUCCUUGCAUGCCUGGUAAAGUCAAGGGUUUUCAGCCAGGGCCUGUGUAUAAAGCAGAAGCAGCACAGAGUCUGGUUUGAAGCUUAGUGCUUGGGUUCAGACAGUUGUGGGUUACAAUCCCUUCUACACAUGUUCUCUGUGGAAACCAUUUGGUUCUCUGUGCUUGGAACUCGCCUGCAACGGGACAAAGCCAUCUCACCUAGACUGUUGUUAUGAAGAUUGAAUUAGGUGAUUCUGAGAGGCAUUUAUGCGUCCUCCCUGAGUAACAAUCCAUGAAAAGUGGGCGUCAUUGCUGAAGCUCAAGGAAGAAAUAUGAAAUUUGAUUAUAUCCUUAUUCACGGCAUUGGGUCACCAACUCAGCACUUUUUAUGAAAGUAGCAUCUGACCUGGCAAAGGCUGUGUCAUCUUAUUACCUCAGAAAGACAAAUUUACGGGGUCAGACGAUGGAUGGCUUGUAGAUUUCUCAAUGGGCUGGAAGGAAGGAGAGAAAAAGAGAGACAGGAGAGAGUACACAUUUAAUUCUGCUUCCCCUAGGGUGAUAUUUCCUUCCUCCCCUUCCAGGGUUCUCAAAAAGGCAUUCUAGGAAGUCCUGUAAAAUACAUGCUCAUAAAAAUCUCAUAAUUUCCACAAAUUGUUGAGAAUUUAAAACUCGGUUGGGAGUUUGCUGUUUCAGCCUGAGACACCGGGGUCACGUUUCAGUGCCUGCAGUCUUGAGACAGUACCAGGCAUCUGGGAUGAAGCUGAGGAAAGAAGAUGUGGGGGCCCUGCUGGCCUGCUCCUUCUCUCGAAAGACGCUUACCGGCUGCUGGUGUGUCACAGGGCUUUAGGAUUUGGAAAAACAGAGGGAUUUAAAAGAAGAUAGAAUGGUCAGAAUUUCGAGAACUGUGUGCUGAAGUGCCAUCUUUAGGGUGCUCAUAACACGGCCUUACAACAUUAGAGGUGCUGGAAUCAUGGAAGAGGCAUCUGGACUCUGUAAUGUCCUUCCCCCUGGAAAAUCUGCUCCAGAAGUGGGGGAUUGGGAGCUGUCAACAUAUGAGCCAUCUUUUGCUCCGUUCAAGAUGGUAGGGGCAUUCUCAACAUGCCCCUCACUCUGAUUCUGCCUCACUUUUAUUUUAGAAUUUUCCACUGCCUUUUCUGGAAUGUGCUUUUUCAACCCUCAAAAUCUGUAGAGAAGAAAUAAGCAGAAACCGAAAUGGCUUUCUGGUGUUCUCCAUGCUCUCAGCUUACUGGAAAAUCGAGCCGCAGGCUCGAGGCUGGACUUUAAGGCAGAGCACUGCAAUUAUAGUGCUAUGGCCUUGGCUUCCUUUCUCAUCACCCAGGUACAGUCCUGCAGUCCUCAGAGGAUGCCAGUCCCACACAGGGGGAUCCUUCUCCAUAGGAAAACCGAGGAACAAUGCAGGUUCGAGGUGCACAGUGGCUAAGCACACUCAGUCCUCAAGAUCUUUCCUCUCAAAUGCUAAUGCUACCUUCAGAUGGGCUGCUGCCUGCUACCAUUUCAACAUUGAGUCCUUUAAGAUGCCAUCAGAGAGAGGGGAAGCAAGAGGCCAAGAAAAAUGAAAGGCCCUGCAUGUUUUUCUUCGGGAAGGCUGUGCAGUCUGCUCUGAGGAGACAGAUCAACCUAGCCCUUCUCCAGGACGAACUCCGAAAACCACAGGAAUUCACGUUCAAAGGAUGACGCAUCUCAGAA